rnacentral:rRNA from 1 species
UACGUAGGGUGCGAGCGUUAAUCGGAAUUACUGGGCGUAAAGCGUGCGCAGGCGGUUCGUUAUGUCCGAUGUGAAAGCCCCCGAGCUCAACUUGGGAAUGGCAUUGGAAAACUGGCGGGCUGGAGUGUGGCAGAGGGGGGUGGAAUUCCACGUGUAGCAGUGAAAUGCGUAGAGAUGUGGAGGAACACCGAUGGCGAAGGCAGCCCCCUGGGCCAACACUGACGCUCAGGCACGAAAGCGUGGGGAGCAAACAGG